GAGGACCGGAUGGGAGAUUUGGCAGCCUUUCCAAUAAAGAUAGCAGGGGCAGCUGUAGAGGUAAUAAAACUGCCUGGAUUCAUCUGGAAAGUCAAGAAGUCCAGACUGGAAUUAGGGGUGAAUGCAAAUUCUGGGGAUGUUCUGGGAACAGCUGGAGCUGGUCUGCCAGGGUUGAACCCCUCACCCCACUGCUCACUAGUGGUAUGACCUUGAACAAAUUAACGGCUCUGACACCCCAGUUUCCUCUACUAGCACUUCCUUCAUGGAACUGUGCAUGAAGGUGAAAUAAAACCUUAUAUAUAAAGUGCUUAACCCAGGGCAAGUCCGCAUGGAGCAUUGGACAAACGUUUUUCUCAUUGUGAUCGCACCCCGGGGAGAAGGAUGAGGUAAAAGAGAAUCUUUCUUUGCCGCUGACUCGGGCAGCAGAAGCAUCCCAACCCACAUCUCCUGCCACUUUGUUUACAGUUGCAUGUAUGUUCAUUUUUUUAAAAAAAGGAGAAAAGCAAGGAAUAGUAUCUCAGUCCCUAAGCCCAGACGGAAAAGUGAGCUGUGUGAAAAACAGAAAACAGAACAGUCUGGUGAUAUCUAGAGGCCAGACGUGGUGGAGAGACCGCCCAAUGUCAAGCGAGGAAGGAAGAACUGGUAAGUUAAAAACUCUAAAUCCUGGGGAAUGACAACGUACCAAACACAAUUUGAGGAGGACAAUUAAAAACUGCCUGGACAAAAUUUGUUUCAAAAAAAUUAUCUGGGUAAAUCUUGUAAAAAUGGGUGAUUGUAUGUGCAAAAAGUUAACUGAAAUGGGUAAAAUGAAAAGCCACAAGACAGGCCCAUCUGAGCACAGUCCCAAUUAAUAGUCUCAAGACCUGAGGAAUGCGUCUCAUUGUGAGACUCUUUCAAAAUGUAAAAAUAGAAGCAAAAGAGACACUCUGGAUUAUUGGAAAACACUUCAUCAGGCCUUGUGCUCGGUUUCCCAGAAGUUGAAAUGGAAGCCUGAGGUGGGCACUCCCAUGUACGCA
rnacentral:lncRNA from 12 species